GCAGCAUCUCUUUUAGAGAUUGCUUCCUUGUGGAGUUUGGGUGACCAGCCUCAGUGUUUUCCAUCUAGAUUGAAGGCAUCAGAAUUGCUCCAUUUUAGCUCGAAGGAGGAUUCAGGCACAGUGAGAACAGAAGGACAGAAGGUGGUUUGCAGUUUCUGGCUAUCUGGAAAGCUGGCAUGAGAGCUAUUUCCUGCAGUGGAUGGAUGACAUCUUGCAGUACCUGUGCUGCUGUGUGGAGGAAAAACGCCUGAACCAUUUCCUCAUAGGAAAUGAGGACGUGCCUGCGGAGAUUAUCUUGCCGCAGGAAUUCCGAGCGUCCCAACCGCUCAACCUCCUCCAGCACCUGGUGCAAGAUCCAGACAGUUAUGAGCAGGCACUGCAGGAGUUGCAGGAGCUGCAAGAUCAGCUCACAGGCCUGCUGAUCUAUAGGAAAUGAGAGACACCCACUUGUCCUACAGACGAGCACUCUGGACAUGGAGAAGACACCACUCAGCAGGCAGUCAGAAUUGCUCCCAAAUGCUUUCUCCACAACAAACCAACAGUGCGGUUGCCAGAGUGCUGAACUGAAUAUGCACAAGGGAGCAGCUGAUGUGAGACUACUCUUUCCUUCCUUCACCACCGUGAGGACCACCUGGGGAGAGAGAAGAUGCUCAGCCUCCUACAAACUCUCCAGGAUAUGGAGAAAACUGCAACCUGGUUCCAGGAACUGAUGAGAGAAGCCUGGGUAGCUAUGUCUCAACUGUCAACAGUGCAGCGCGAGUUGAGGCCCUCCGUCUGCUUCUGCAAGUUCCAGCUGACAAUCACCUCUUGCAGAGUCCUCUGGAUUGAGCUCAGGCUCAGGGUACAGCAAGAGGACUUGGACACAUUUCUGUCCUUUGAGUAGGCAGGGGCUGUUGAUAGCAGAAGCACGAGGAGGCCGCAGAGAUGUGAUGCAGCAGAGACUUCUUUGGGAAACAGCCGCUACAGCAGGCUACAUCUGAUGGAUUUCAAAAGAAGGCAGCGUUUGGAGUACAGCAAGACCAUGAAGACAACUAUCUGAGCAGCCAGGAGACAGAGACAGCUAGACCCAUAUCCUGGUAGCCACCAGCGUUUCUACAUAUGCCUUUUAAAUGCCGGGACCACAUGGAGUGAAGAAGAAUCAUCUUUGUCCACACUGAAAAUAUGGUUAAAUAGUUAAAUAUAGUUAAUGUAGAUCA